rnacentral:rRNA from 1 species
GGAAUAUUGGACAAUGGGCGAAAGCCUGAUCCAGCCAUGCCGCGUGUGUGAAGAAGGUCUUCGGAUUGUAAAGCACUUUAAGCUGGGAGGAAGGGUAGUAACUUAAUACGUUGCUUUUUUGAGGUUACCGACAGAAUAAGCACCGGCUAACUUCGUGCACGCAGCCGCGGUCAUACGAAGGGUGCAAGCGUUAACCGGAAUUACUGGGCGUAAAGCGCGCGUAGGUGGUUCAGUAAGUUGGAUGUGAAAUCCCCGGGCUCAACCUGGGAACUGCAUCCAAAACUGCUGAACUAGAGUACGGUAGAGGGUGGUGGAAUUUCCUGUGUAGCGGUGAAAUGCGUAGAUAUAGGAAGGAACACCAGUGGCGAAGGCGACCACCUGGACUGAUACUGACACUGAGGUGCGAAAGCGUGGGGAGCAAAC